CCUGGCAUUUCAGGUUCCGGGAGGGGCCGCCCGGUCUGGUCCCCACUGCACGGACCUCCCUCCUUCCCUCUUGGUGCCCCGUAAGCAUGUCACACAGCGCUAGGUCAGGGCCAGCGGGAGAGAAGCUUCUCAACCCAGGGUCCCAGCAAAGGUGACUGGGCAUGUGGGCCUCAAAGGGCUGCCUUUGUCUGACGCACCCCUCCGGGCUGAGCCCAGCUCCUAACAGUUAUGGCUUCCCUGCAUGGGACCUUGCUCUGUGUGGGGCUGUUCCUCAGUCCUGCCCACAUUUACUGCGCGUGGCGUGCAGCCCGUGGACGCAGCAGGAGGCGGCAGCACCGGUGCUGCUGGUGGCUCGCGUCAGGCCGCCCGGUGGGUGAGUAGUAGCAGUUUGGCAGUGACCGGAGGGUAUCGAGAUGCCAGUCCGGUCCAGUGGGGCUGGGGACGUGGUUGUUGGGGCGAGGGAAGAAGGCUGCACUGAGCAAAGACCAGCGAAGGGGAAGGGUGGCCGUGGGCGUGUGGGGGGUUCCUGACACGGGAAACAGCGCAAGUAGGGGCCAGAGAGCAGAGCCCCCGGCACCCCCAAGGUCCUCGGUAUGGAGCUGCAGUCGACCGAAGAGUGGCCCCCAGACACAGAAUGGCCCUCACUGGGAAACAGAGUCCUUGCACAUAUAGGUCAGAAAUGAAACCCCCCGGAGCACAGCGUGCAGCACCUGCGCCCCGUGAGUGCUGGGAUACAUUCCUUCCCACUUCAGACACAGGUGGUCGCUGCACGCAGACGGGGCCGUAAGCAGCUCCCUUUCCCCACCGUCUGGUCCUCUUGCCACCAGUGGGUCCAUGUGGGCCUCCAGAGGGUCCGUGUGGGCCUUUCACGGCAGGUUCGGAGAAGGGGGUUGUGCACUGAGCAGUCGGCGCAGCUGGACGUGGGGCCUCCACAGUGGUCAAGCUGGCGCCUGCAUUUCUGCACAUUUGGGCUCAAAUCCUGGGUCAGAAGUUGGGCACAGCUCACUCUCUGAUGGCUCUCACCAGAUGUUCCAUCUUCCCCCGCAUGCGCUUGGCAGCGGGCAGAACCUCAGCUCAAGUCUGGCCUUGGUUGGGCCCUUCUCGCCGUCCCCCGACCCUGCAUCCUGCAGCUGCCAGCAGCCCAGCUCCGCCUGCCGCAGGGAGGCUUGAGAAGGAGCAGCCUGGACAGAGCAGGUGCUCGAACCCGCACGGGAACUCGACAGAGGGACAAGCCUGGACACUGCAUAAGGAUACUGCUGGGACAACGCACAGAGUCUCUGGAGGCCUUCGGGUGACGAAGAGUGCUGCCCUGAUGCUGUUUUCUUCAUGCUGAUAAUAGUGCUGUCAUCACGUAGGAGAAUUCCUCGUUUUUAGGAAAUACUCAAUGUUUGGGGGUUAAAGAAAUCAUCUUCUACUCACUCUUUAAUGGUUCAGGGAAAAUUAUGGAGAGAGAGGAGGAUAAAACGAAGACAGUACACGGUGAACGUUGAGGGAUUCAGGAUGAAGGCCAUCCCAUAACUCUACACCAUUCUUGACAGCUCUCUGUGUUUGAAAUCAUGUUCCCCAAUUUUUUUUAAAACCUAGUGACUUAAGGGGCGUCUGGGUGGCUCGGUCGGUUAAGUGUCUGACUCUUGGUUUCGGCUCAGGUUGAGAUCUCAGGAUCAUGUGAUCAAGCCCCACGUGCUG